rnacentral:tRNA from 1 species
GGAGGGGUGGCUGAGUGGACGAAAGCACUGGUUUUGAAAACCAGCGAGGUUAACUACCUCCCGGGGUUCGAAUCCCCGCCCCUCCGCCA